UGCAAGUCGGACGGGAUUUGGGAGCUUGCUCCCGAUGAGAGUGGCGCACGGGUGCGUAACACGUAUGUAACCUACCUUGAUCAGGGGGGUAGCCUCUCGAAAGAGAGAUUAAGACCGCAUAACAUUAAGACACAGCAUUGUGAUUUAAUCAAAUAUUUAUAGGAUCAAGAUGGGCAUGCGGAACAUUAGCUAGUUGGUAAGGUAAUGGCUUACCAAGGCUACGAUGUUUAGGGGAUCUGAGAGGAUGACCCCCCACACUGGUACUGAGACACGGACCAGACUCCUACGGGAGGCAGCAGUAAGGAAUAUUGGUCAAUGGGCGGAAGCCUGAACCAGCCAUGCCGCGUGCAGGAAGACGGCCCUACGGGUUGUAAACUGCUUUUGCAGGGGAAUAAACCUCCCGACGUGUCGGGAGCUGAAUGUACUCUAAGAAUAAGGAUCGGCUAACUCCGUGCCAGCAGCCGCGGUAAUACGGAGGAUCCAAGCGUUAUCCGGAUUUAUUGGGUUUAA
rnacentral:rRNA from 1 species